rnacentral:rRNA from 1 species
AACGAACGCUGGCGGCGUGGAUUAGGCAUGCAAGUCGAACGGAACUUUAGCUUUUUCGAAGUUUAGUGGCGAAAGGGUGAGUAACACGUGGGUUACCUGCCCUAGGGUUCGGGAUAACCUGUCGAAAGACGGGCUAAUACCGGAUACGUUCCACAUUUUACGAAAUGUGGAGGAAAGACGGGGAUUUCGCAAGAGACCUGUCACCCUUGGAUGGGCCCGCGGCCUAUCAGCUAGUUGGUGAGGUAAUGGCUCACCAAGGCUAAGACGGUAGCUGGUCUGAGAGGAUGGCCAGCCACACUGGGACUGAGACACUGCCCAGACACCUACGGGUGGCUGCAGUCGAGAAUCUUUCGCAAUGGGGGAACCCUGACGAAGCGACGCCGCGUGCAGGAUGAAGGUCUUCGGA